AGGAGCAAUGUUUAAAGGAUGAGAUUAAAGAGAUGCAACACAAGGGAUAUCCAAUUAGUCAAGAAAAUGUAGAACUCUAUAAAAGGAUUGAAGUCAUUAGUAAUGAAAAUGCAGAAUUACGGAAGACUUGUGAAGGGUUGCAUGCACCAACCUAUCUGCGGCUGAGCCAGCCAGAGUCUCAAUCUUGUGAGCCACCAACCAAAGCAACGGCACUGGGAUUACAGCUGCUUUAGCAACAGCUCUUUCUUGUAGGAAGACCAAGUUUUCUGCAGAGGAGACAGUUAGAAUCAAAACAGCAUCAAUUCCAAAUAUAUGAAGUUCCAUCAGGAAUCAGUUAUCUCAAGGUUCAGCACAGGGGAUAUAACAGGAUAUUUUUCCGUAAAAUUGAGAUGAUAAAACUCUCA